GCCCGAGUGGCGGAAUGGUAGACGCAGCGGAUUCAAAAUCCGCCGGUAGCAAUGCCGUGCGAGUUCGAGUCUCGCCUCGGGCACCA
rnacentral:tRNA from 1 species